GUCGAGCGACUGAUUAGAAGCUUGCUUCUAUGACGUUAGCGGCGGACGGGUGAGUAACACGUGGGCAACCUGCCUGUAAGACUGGGAUAACUUCGGGAAACCGAAGCUAAUACCGGAUAGGAUCUUCUCCUUCAUGGGAGAUGAUUGAAAGAUGGUUUCGGCUAUCACUUACAGAUGGGCCCGCGGUGCAUUAGCUAGUUGGUGAGGUAACGGCUCACCAAGGCAACGAUGCAUAGCCGACCUGAGAGGGUGAUCGGCCACACUGGGACUGAGACACGGCCCAGACUCCUACGGGAGGCAGCAGUAGGGAAUCUUCCGCAAUGGACGAAAGUCUGACGGAGCAACGCCGCGUGAGUGAUGAAGGCUUUCGGGUCGUAAAACUCUGUUGUUAGGGAAGAACAAGUACGAGAGUAACUGCUCGUACCUUGACGGUACCUAACCAGAAAGCCACGGCUAACUACGUGCCAGCAGCCGCGGUAAUACGUAGGUGGCAAGCGUUAUCCGGAAUUAUUGGGCGUAAAGCGCGCGCAGGCGGUUUCUUAAGUCUGAUGUG
rnacentral:rRNA from 1 species